rnacentral:rRNA from 1 species
ACCUGCAAUUCUCACCUGGUGUCCCAUUAAAGCUAAGCAGCGUUGAGCUUGGCUGGUACUUGGAUGGGAAACCUCCUAGGGAAAACUAAGGUUGCUGCUG